rnacentral:tRNA from 1 species
ACCCGUCUAGCUCAUCGUAGAGCGCUGGCCUUUUAAGCCAGUGGUCGUGGGUUCGAUCCCCACGGGGGGUG